AAAAAGAGAAAGAGCGAGAGAGAGAGAGGGGAGGGCUGACUGGCUGGCUGGCUGGCAGACGAUAAGCAGUGCAAAAAAACGCAAGGGAAAAAAAGUGCGGUGCGGACGGCGGGACGGGGGGACGGGGGGACGGCGCGGUGCAAAAUACUUAUGAAAGUAAAAAAAAUUUUGAAAAAUUAUCUCAUCAAAAAGGUGGAAUACUGCCGCCUGCUGUUGCUGCUGCGGCUGCUGUCUCCGGCUUCUUUCUGCUUAAUUACCGCCCGCCGCCACGCUGUAGUUUUUUUCCGCUUUGUUUUGUUCGGUUUUUUGCAACAGGCUUCUGUUUCUUGGUCUUCGUUGGCUUCGUUGACUGAUUUCCGAGUUGAGUUGAGUUGAGUGGAGUGGACUGGAGUGA